GUGGGUAUAGUAUAAUGGUUCGUAUAUCUGCCUUCCAAGCAGAGGAUGAGGGUUCGAUUCCCUUUACCCACUCCA
rnacentral:tRNA from 1 species